rnacentral:rRNA from 1 species
GAUGAACGCUGGCGGCGUGCCUAAUACAUGCAAGUCGAGCGAAUGGAUUAAGAGCUUGCUCUUAUGAAGUUAGCGGCGGACGGGUGAGUAACACGUGGGUAACCUGCCCAUAAGACUGGGAUAACUCCGGGAAACCGGGGCUAAUACCGGAUAACAUUUUGAACCGCAUGGUUCGAAAUUGAAAGGCGGCUUCGGCUGUCACUUAUGGAUGGACCCGCGUCGCAUUAGCUAGUUGGUGAGGUAACGGCUCACCAAGGCAACGAUGCGUAGCCGACCUAAGAGGGUGGUCGGCCACACUGGUACUGAGACACGGCCCAGACUCCUACGGGAGGCAGCAGUAGGGAAUCUUCCGCAAUGGACGAAAGUCUGACAGAGCAAAGCCGCGUGAGUGAUGAAGGCUUUCGGGUCGUAAAACUCUGUUGUUAGGGAAGAACAAGUGCUAGUUGAAUAAGCUGGCAACUUGACGGUACCUAACCAGAAAGCCACGGCUAACUACGUGCCAACAGCCGCCGCGG